UACGGAGGGGGCAAGCGUUGUUCGGAAUUAUUGGGCGUAAAGGGCAUGUAGGUGGUUUGGUAAGUUAAAGGUGAAAUGCCAGGGCUUAACCCUGGAGCUGCUUUUAAUACUGCCAGACUGGAGUCCGGGAGAGGAUAGCGGAAUUCCUAGUGUAGAGGUGAAAUUCGUAGAUAUUAGGAGGAACACCAGUGGCGAAGGCGGCUAUCUGGUCCGGUACUGACACUGAGGUGCGAAAGCG
rnacentral:rRNA from 1 species